GUGUGGUGACUCAUGCCUGUAAUCCUAGCACUUUGGGAGGCCAUGGCAGAUGGAUCAACCGAAGUCAGGAGUUUGAGACCAGACUGGCCAACAUGGUGAAACCCUGUCUCUACUAAAAAUACAAAA